GGAGAGGUGGCCGAGUGGUUUAAGGCGACGGUCUUGAAAACCGUUGUGCGGGCAACCGUACCGUGGGUUCGAAUCCCACCCUCUCCGCCA
rnacentral:tRNA from 1 species